rnacentral:sRNA from 1 species
CUUCUUCGAUCUGCUGCGGGCAGAUGAAGUGAAUGUGGGCGUCCAUGCCGCCUGCGGUCAAAAUCUUGCCUUCCCCGGCAAUAAUCUCCGUGCCAGGGCCAAUAAUGAUCGUCACACCGGGCUGCGUAUCGGGAUUUCCGGCCUUGCCAAUGCCAAUGAUCAACCCAUCCUUCAGGCCGACAUCCGCUUUGUAGAUGCCGCUAUGAUCGACGACCAGUGCGUUUGUGAUCACGGUGUCGACGGCACCAUCGGCGCGGGCGGUCUGGCUCUGGCCCAUUCCGUCCCGGAUG